rnacentral:rRNA from 1 species
UUCCUACGGGAGCAGCAGUGAGGAAUAUUGGUCAAUGGGCGGAAGCCUGAACCAGCCAAGUCGCGUGAGGGAAGAAGGCCCUGCGGGUCGCAGACCUCUUUGGACGGGGAGCAAGGCCGCCGACGUGUCGGCGGAAGGAGAGUACCCGUAGAACAAGCAUCGGCUAACUCCGUGCCAGCAGCCGCGGUAAUACGUAGGUGGCAAGCGUUGUCCGGAUUUAUUAGGCGUAAAGCGAGUGCAGGCGGGUCAAUUAGUCUGAUGUGCAAGCCUUCCG